CCUUAUCAACUACCACCCACAUGACAGCGGUUGAUGACUUUUCGUGUUGGUUAAUAUGCUUUAUAUGUUUCGUAGAAGGCCAGAUGGCCAGGUCACUGAUUCGUCCGCGGGUUCAGUCUUACGGUAAUGUGAGCAAUAAGUCAGACACCGGUUUACACUAAAACAAAAAACAUCAUCCGAACGCGCCAAAAUAAGCAUUAGGAUACACGGAUCAUCACGGAAAUUUACAGGUUAUUGCCCUUUUUAUAUAGAAGUUGAACGCUGUCAGCAGAUAAGAAGGAAGUAAAAUAGAAUUUCUGCGUGCGAUUGAAAGCUGUGCGUCUUUAUCAAUCAAAACGACACCGUUCAAGUUUCCCAAAUUGGAUAUCAUUCAUCCACUUACUGCGCAGGACUCGUGUGAAUGAUUAGACGGUAGGGUUACAAUGAUUAGCUGUUUUGUGCGUACACAACAAUUAUACCCAGAAAAACGUGUUUGCAAAUCGUUUUUGUCCAAAAUAUUUUAAGAUCAUAAUAAAACUGAACGUAUUUAAUAUAUAAUAAAUGUAC